GAUGAACGCUGGCGGCGUGCCUAAUACAUGCAAGUCGAGCGAACAGACGAGGAGCUUGCUCCUCUGACGUUAGCGGCGGACGGGUGAGUAACACGUGGAUAACCUACCUAUAAGACUGGGAUAACUUCGGGAAACCGGAGCUAAUACCGGAUAAUAUAUUGAACCGCAUGGUUCAAUAGUGAAAGACGGUUUUGCUGUCACUUAUAGAUGGAUCCGCGCCGCAUUAGCUAGUUGGUAAGGUAACGGCUUACCAAGGCAACGAUGCGUAGCCGACCUGAGAGGGUGAUCGGCCACACUGGAACUGAGACACGGUCCAGACUCCUACGGGAGGCAGCAGUAGGGAAUCUUCCGCAAUGGGCGAAAGCCUGACGGAGCAACGCCGCGUGAGUGAUGAAGGUCUUCGGGUCGUAAAACUCUGUUAUUAGGGAAGAACAAAUGUGGAAGUAACUAUGCACGUCUUGACGGUACCUAAUCAGAAAGCCACGGCUAACUACGUG
rnacentral:rRNA from 1 species